UGUCCCGCCCGCUUCAGGGCCUCUCUCGCUGGGGCCGAUGCUGCGCGGCCGCGGAGCGGAGAUGGCAGGAGCGCCGCCCCGGGCUCAGCUAAAAUGUGUGCGAAACUCUGCUAAAUGUGUGCGGAACUCUGCUAACAGAUGUGCAAAACUCAGCUAAAAGGUGUGCGGAACUCUGCUAACAGGUGUGCGAAAGUCAGCUAAAAGGUGUGCCAAACUCUGCUAAAAGCAACAAUGGAGCUAUUUGUUGGAUCAAAUUUCCAGACAACUUCCCCUUCUUCCAGAUAUACACUGGCUCAUUUACAGGAACAAAGACCAAACUGGAACAGACAACUGGCUCACCAGACCCACUGCCAUUCAUCACAGCGUGAUGCUUCAGCAGAGGACAUGCUCCGUUUCCUCUUCCCAGCAUAAACUAUUCUGUAAUUGAUUUUUUAGUGAAUUUUCAAAGUUGCUGAAAAGAUUUGGGACUCAACACUGGAGCCCUUUGACAACUCAAAUUCAUUUACAUACAGAUGCUUCUCUGUAUCAGGAUGUGGUGCUCUGGUCUGUGCUGGCAUGCAUUUCACAUAAGAGUGCAGAAACAGAAAUAAAAAUCCCCUCCCAUAA